CAAGUCGAACGGAGUACCCCUGAAGGAGUUUUCGGACAACUGAUGGGACUACUUAGUGGCGGACGGGUGAGUAACGCGUGAGUAACCUGCCUUGGAGUGGGGAAUAACAGCUGGAAACAGCUGCUAAUACCGCAUAAUAUGUCUGUGUCGCAUGGCACUGGACAUCAAAGAUUUAUCGCUCUGAGAUGGACUCGCGUCUGAUUAGCUAGUUGGCGGGGUAACGGCCCACCAAGGCGACGAUCAGUAGCCGGACUGAGAGGUUGGCCGGCCACAUUGGGACUGAGACACGGCCCAGACUCCUACGGGAGGCAGCAGUGGGGAAUAUUGGGCAAUGGGCGCAAGCCUGACCCAGCAACGCCGCGUGAAGGAAGAAGGCUUUCGGGUUGUAAACUUCUUUUCUCAGGGACGAAGCAAGUGACGGUACCUGAGGAAUAAGCCACGGCUAACUACGUGCCAGCAGCCGCGGUAAUACGUAGGUGGCAAGCGUUAUCCGGAUUUACUGGGUGUAAAGGGCGUGUAGGCGGGACUGCAAGUCAGAUGUGAAAACCACGGGCUCAACCUGUGGCCUGCAUUUGAAACUGUAGUUCUUGAGUACUGGAGAGGCAGACGGAAUUCCUAGUGUAGCGGUGAAAUGCGUAGAUAUUAGGAGGAACACCAGUGGCGAAGGCGGUCUGCUGGACAGCAACUGACGCUGAGGCGCGAAAGCGUGGGGAGCAAACAGGAUUAGAUACCCUGGUAGUCCACGCUGUAAACGAUGGAUACUAGGUGUGGGGGGACUGACCCCCUC
rnacentral:rRNA from 1 species